ensembl:lncRNA
CGGCCGUCCCGCCCCCGUCCGUCCCUCCCCGGGGAUUGGCUGCCCCGCCCGCGCCGCCUCCCCUGUCUCCGCGCCGCGCGCCCGGCGCCGGCCUCUUAGUCUCGCUGACCAGGGCGGUGAGUGGCUCGGGGCUCCGGCUCCUCGUGGCGGGUGGGUACCCGGCCGGCCCGGGUGUGGCUGGGCUCGUCCCGCGUCCCCUCGAGCUUUGCCCGCCCGGAGCUCCGCUGCUCCCGGCGGCCAGGACGGAGGGGUAGAGCAGCCCUCGGCGGCCCGGGGGGCGGGCGGCCGUGCCCGUCCAGAGGCCGCGCGAGGCACAGACGCCGCGGGGCGCCGUCCGGAGGAGGCUUCCCGGUGGGCAGCCCCGGCCGCGGUAACAGCUUUGCGCUUUGCUUCCCCAGGGCGCAGCCGCGGCUACUUGGUAGCGGGUUCGGGGCCCGGCCGCGCCUGCGGCGGCGAGAGCCAUUCUGGACCGACCUCGGGCCUGCGGAGGUUGUGUGCGGCGUCUGCGGGGUGCAGCGGCCUCAGUUCUGAGCGCAGGUUGAAAACUACAGGUACGGCCAUUGAAGCUGGAAUGCUCUGCCUUGAAUAUCUGUUUCCAACAACUGAACAAUCUCCAUCAACAAAAAGAAGUUUCAUUAUUACAAGUGACUAUUUCUGCCUAAAAGUGGCCACUCUCUCAUUCUUUUUUGAGAUGUUUCCAUAUAGAAUAACAUUGAUCUCUAGCUCCCUGUUUAGGGUUUCACUCCUAGCCUGCCGCUAACCUACUGAUUGUUCAAACGAGCUCACCGUGAAGAAAUAAAGUAGAAAUGCUUCCAUGUUGAGUCUCUCCUUCUGAGGUAACAGUUUGCUAGAUUCCUCCUAAUAAACUUCCAGCUCCAUGCUCUCUCCUUUGUCACACUCAGCUCUGCAGCUUCCACUCUGCUUAAAUCACGUACCUACAAAGCUGAAGGAAAAUGGUUGAAGAAGCCCAGCUCAUUUUAGAUUCAGCCUGAAGUUUCUCCAAGACCAAUGAAACAAAACUGUUGGAUUGUGCCCUGGAUAUGCACCCCAGAGGCAGGUUCCUGCGCAGCUCUCUUUUGGUUUAACCUCUACAGGAUCAUCAACCACAAUAGUAGGAGACAUAUUCUCGCCAGAAACUUUCCGCAAGUUUUCUUUCAGAAUGAGUCUGUUUCUUCGUCUAAAUUUAACUUUUCAGCCAUUUUUCUUACCAUUAUGCGGCUAUCUGAGCAAACCAAAUUUCUGACCCUCUCAAUGUUUUCAUGUGUGCCGUGGGUGACUGGCCGGCCACUUCGAGCAUCAUCGUGGAUAUCAUUUCCACCUUCUUUAAACCUUCUAUGCCAGUCAAAAACUCUUGCUCUUGACAUUAUUUCUUCACCAUAAGCUACUUUUAACUUUUCAAGUGUCUCACUUGCAGAUUUACUUAACUCUACACAAAGUUUAAUAUGAAUUCUUUGCUCUCAAUAAUGGUCACUCAUUUUUAUGAUGAAAAAAGAAAUAAUUCUGUUCUCAUCUACUCACAAAUUUAGCUGGCAGCCUUGAAGCAUGGUUGUGGCUAGCUGAAACAUGUUAUAACAUAUCCUGGCAACAAUCACUCCU